rnacentral:rRNA from 1 species
CCUCGUGGCGCAGCAGUGGGGAAUAUUGCACAAUGGGGGAAACCCUGAUGCAGCGACGCCGCGUGAGUGAAGAAGUAAUUCGUUAUGUAAAGCUCUAUCAGCAGGGAAGAAAAUGACGGUACCUGAGUAAGAAGCCCCGGCUAACUACGUGCCAGCAGCCGCGGUAAUACGUAGGGGGCAAGCGUUAUCCGGAUUUACUGGGUGUAAGGGAGCGUAGACGGCGAUGCAAGUCUGAAGUGAAAGGCGGGGGCCCAACCCCUGGACUGCUUUGG